rnacentral:rRNA from 1 species
UGAUCCUGGCUCAGAUUGAACGCUGGCGGCAGGCGUAACACAUGCAAGUCGAGCGGUAACAUUUCUAGCUUGCUAGAAGAUGACGAGCGGCGGACGGGUGAGUAAUGCUUGGGAAUAUGCCUUAGGGUGGGGGACAACAGUUGGAAACGACUGCUAAUACCGCAUAACGUCUACGGACCAAAGGGGGCUUCGGCUCUCGCCCUUAGAUUAGCCCAAGUGGGAUUAGCUAGUUGGUGAGGUAAUGGCUCACCAAGGCGACGAUCCCUAGCUGGUUUGAGAGGAUGAUCAGCCACACUGGAACUGAGACACGGUCCAGACUCCUACGGGAGGCAGCAGUGGGGAAUAUUGCACAAUGGGCGCAAGCCUGAUGCAGCCAUGCCGCGUGUGUGAAGAAGGCCUUAGGGUUGUAAAGCACUUUCAGUAAGGAGGAAAGGUUAGUAGUUAAUACCUGCUAGCUGUGACGUUACUUACAGAAGAAGCACCGGCUAACUCCGUGCCAGCAGCCGCGGUAAUACGGAGGGUGCGAGCGUUAAUCGGAAUUACUGGGCGUAAAGCGUACGCAGGCGGUUUGUUAAGCGAGAUGUGAAAGCCCCGGGCUCAACCUGGGAACUGCAUUUCGAACUGGCAAACUAGAGUAUGAUAGAGGGUGGUAGAAUUUCAGGUGUAGCGGUGAAAUGCGUAGAGAUCUGAAGGAAUACCGAUGGCGAAGGCAGCCACCUGGGUCAAUACUGACGCUCAUGUACGAAAGCGUGGGGAGCAAACGGGAUUAGAUACCCCGGUAGU